AGAGUUUGAUCAUGGCUCAGGACGAACGCUGGCGGCGUGCCUAAUACAUGCAAGUCGAACGCUUCUUUCCUCCCGAGUGCUUGCACUCAAUUGGAAAGAGGAGUGGCGGACGGGUGAGUAACACGUGGGUAACCUACCCAUCAGAGGGGGAUAACACUUGGAAACAGGUGCUAAUACCGCAUAACAGUUUAUGCCGCAUGGCAUAAGAGUGAAAGGCGCUUUCGGGUGUCGCUGAUGGAUGGACCCGCGGUGCAUUAGCUAGUUGGUGAGGUAACGGCUCACCAAGGCCACGAUGCAUAGCCGACCUGAGAGGGUGAUCGGCCACACUGGGACUGAGACACGGCCCAGACUCCUACGGGAGGCAGCAGUAGGGAAUCUUCGGCAAUGGACGAAAGUCUGACCGAGCAACGCCGCGUGAGUGAAGAAGGUUUUCGGAUCGUAAAACUCUGUUGUUAGAGAAGAACAAGGACGUUAGUAACUGAACGUCCCCUGACGGUAUCUAACCAGAAAGCCACGGCUAACUACGUGCCAGCAGCCGCGGUAAUACGUAGGUGGCAAGCGUUGUCCGGAUUUAUUGGGCGUAAAGCGAGCGCAGGCGGUUUCUUAAGUCUGAUGUGAAAGCCCCCGGCUCAACCGGGGAGGGUCAUUGGAAACUGGGAGACUUGAGUGCAGAAGAGGAGAGUGGAAUUCCAUGUGUAGCGGUGAAAUGCGUAGAUAUAUGGAGGAACACCAGUGGCGAAGGCGGCUCUCGGUCUGUAACKACGCKAGGYCGAAGCUGGCACCCA
rnacentral:rRNA from 1 species